rnacentral:tRNA from 1 species
AGCUCAGUUGGAUAGAGCAACGGCCUUCUAAGCCGUGGGUCGCAGGUUCUUAUAAGGUACAGAUUUGUAGUGCAUACGUAGAGUCACUGCA